rnacentral:lncRNA from 1 species
UGCAAGACAAGACUCUUCUUCCUCCCAUUGAAUCAAGAGCCAAAAUACUCCUUUGUUGUCUUGCAAAUAGUGUGGAAAACCAUAAACCAUUUUGAUCAUUGUCAUUUCAUUGUUAUUAUUGUGAAACCACACAUAUUAUUUAGUCUUGUGAAGAAUCUUGUGGAUACACAUACCAUCAAGAACAAACUUGAAGGAAAGGAUUAAGGAGCAUUCUUCANN